AUGGUAUAUGUAAAAAAAGAAAAAAAAAAAAUUCAAAAUAGUUAUAAGAGUCGUUUCAAAAUUGAAGAAUUUGAAAAUUCUAAGACUAAUGACAUUUUAAUAAAGCGUGAUCUGGUAGAACAUUUUGGAGUAAAGAAUGAAAAAGAUAAAAUAAAAACUGAUAAAUUAAAUAAACAGGUUGACAAUAUGGACGACUUACUUGGCAGUGCUAGUGGUAGUGCUAGUGGUAGUGCUAGUGGUAGUGCUAGUGGUAGUGCUAGUGGUAGUGCUAGUGGAAGUGACGACACUAGUGACGAUGACGACGCCAGUGACUAUGACAGUGAUGGUGACGAUGACGACGCCAGUGACUAUGACAGUGAUGGUGACAAUAACGACGCCAGUGACUAUGACAGUGACUAUGAAAAACAAAGCAACAACGAUAGUGAUAACAACAGCAGUAAUAAAAUAAAAAAAAGAGAAAAAAAAAAAUAUAAUACAAAGAAUAAAUAUACUUAUGACGAUAGUAGUAAAACAUAUGAUAAAUUAACAGGUGAAAAACUAAAAAGGUAUAAACGUGAAAUUGUUAAAAAUGAAAUAUAUGAUGAAGAAUGUAAUAGUACAGAUUCUCAUUUAAAUUCCAAUCGUUCUUCUUUUUUUGAAAAUAUUAAUGGUACUACAAAAGAAAAUAUUUAUAAUAACAACAACACAGGAAUAAAUAAAAUGAAAAAAAGAAAGAACUACUUCGAACAAAACAAUGAAAAUUAUUCAUUUUUUAUCGGCAGUAAGCAUGAAGAAAUAUACAAUGACACUAAUGCGUACGAUGAUAGUAAUGCGUACGAUGAUAAUAAUGCAUAUGGUGAUAAUAAUGCAUAUGGUGAUAAUAAUGCAUAUGAUGAUAGAAAAAACAAAUUUUAUAAUAAUAUUGAGGAGAAACAAAAUAUAAAUAAGUUAAAAUUGGUGGAUAAAAAAAAUAUUAUUUAUAACGAAGAUGAAGAAAUGAGUGAUAAUAAAAAUGUAUCUAUAUCGAAGUAUUACCAAUUAUAUGAAAAAAAGAAGAAAAAAAAAAAAAAAAAAAAAAAAAAAUAUAUACAUAAGAAUGAACAUAUCCCAAAUAAAACUACUAGUUCUGUUAGUAGUAAUAUAAGUAGUUGCAUUGAUAGUAGCGGAAACGACAGUGAUAAAAACAAUAAAAAUUAUAAUAAAUUGAAAAAAAAAAAAUUUAUGGUUAAAAAAAUUAAUUAA
rnacentral:lncRNA from 1 species